rnacentral:lncRNA from 1 species
CUGGUGGAGGGGGAGGAGGAGGUUGAGAGAUGUAUGGUAGAGGAGGAGGAGAAGGAAGGCCAGCAAUGUCUGGUAGAGGAGGAGGAGGAGGAGGGCACGCAAAUUUUGGUGGAGGAGGUGGAGGAGGUGGAGGAGGAGGGGCAGCGAUGUCUGGUAGAGGAGGAGGAGGGGGAAGAGAGCCAGCAAUGUCUGGUCCAGGAGGAAGAGGAAUAGGAGGAGGAGGAUGGACAGUGAUAUCUUGUAGAAGAGGAGGACCUGCGGCAGCGAAGUCUGGUUUAGGAGGAGGAGGAAGCAGAGGAGGAGGGCCAGAGAUGUCCGGUAGAAGAGGAGGAGGAGGGGCAGCAGUGUAUGGUGGAGGAGGCGUUGUAGAAGUAGGAGGAGGGUGAGCAAUGUAUGGUAGAGUAGGAGGAGGAGAUGGAGGAGGAGGGCCAGUGAUGUCUGGUAGAGGAGGAGUAGGAGGAGAAAGAGGAGGGCCAGCAAUGUCCAGGAGAGGAGGAAAAGGAGGGUUAGCAAUGUCUGGUAAGGGAGUAGGACGAGGAGGAAGAGGGCCAGCCAUGUCUGGUACAGGAGGAGGAGGAGGAGGAAGAGGAGGAGGAGGAGGAAGAUCAGCGAUGUCUGGUAGAAGCGGAGGAGGAGGGCCAGCGAAGUCUGGAAGAGGAGGAGGAGGAGCAGGAGGGCAAGUGAUGUCUGGUAGAGGAGGAGGAGGGCCAGCAAUGUGUGGUAGAGGAGGAGAAGGAAGAGGGUCAGCGAUGUCUGUUAGAGUAGGAGGAGGAGGGUCAGCGAGGUUUCGUAUAGGAGUAGGAGGAGGAAGAAGAGGGCCAUCAAUGUCUAGUGCAGGAGGAAGAGGAGGAGCAUGAGGGUCAGUGAUGUCUGGAGGAGGAGGAGGAGGAGGAGAGGUUCUAGCAAUGUCUUUUAAAGAAGGAGCAGGAUUAGAAGGAGGAGGAGGAGAAGGAAGGCCAGUGAUGUCCGGUAGAAAAGAAGGAAGAGGAGGAAGAGGAGGAGGAGUUCCAGCAAUGUCUGUUAGAGGAGGCGGAGGAUGAGGGCCCUCAAUGUCUGGUAGAGGAGGAAGAGGAGGAGGAGAAGGAGGGCCAGUGAUGCCUGGUAGAGAAGGAGGAGGAAGAGGAGGAGAAGGAGGCAGAGGAGGAGAGGCAUGGAUGUCUGGAAUAAGAGUAGUAGUAGGAGAAAUACUGCCAGCAAUGUCUGGUACAGGAGGAGGUUGAGGAGGAGGAGGAGGGUCAUCGAUGUCUGGUAGAAGAGGAGGAGGAAGGGAAGGAGGAGGAGGAAGAGAAGAAAGAGGAGAAGGAGGAGGAGGGCUAGUAAUGUCUGAUAGAGAAGGAGGAGGAUUAGGAUGAAGAGUAGGAGGAAGGCCCACAGUGUUUGGUAGAGGAGGAGGAGGAGGAGGGCCAGCGAUGUCUGGUAGAGAAGGAGGAGAAGGAUGAGGGCCAGUGAUGUCUGUCGGAGGAGGAGGAGGAAGAGGGCAAGCGAUGUCUGGUAGAGGAGGAGGAGGCCCAGAAAUGUAUCGGGGAGGAGGAGGAGGGAGCAGAGGGAGGAGAAGGGCCAGUGAUGUCCGGUAGAGGAGGAGGAGCAUCAGCAAUGCCUCUUAGAGGAGUAGGAUGAGGAGAAAGAGGGCCAAUGAUGUCUGGAAGGCGAUGAUUGAGGGGGGGAGGACAAAGAAGAGGGGGAGGGCCAGCAAUAUCUGGCAGAGGAGGAGGAGUAAGGCCAGCAAUGUCUUUUAGGGGAGGAUGAGUGCACUGAAUGUCUGGUAGAGGAGGAGGAGGAGGAGCUGGAGGAGUAGGGCCAGUGAUGUCUGGUAGAGAAGGAGGAGGAAGAGGAGGAGAAGGAGGAAGAGGAGGAGGAGGGGGGGCCAGAGAUGUCUGGUGGAGGAGGAGUAGGGCCAGAAAAGUAUGGUAGAAGAGGAGAAGGAGGAGGAGGGCCAGCAAUGUCUGGCGGUGGUGGUGGAGGAGGAGGAGGAGGAGGGCUAGCAAUGUCUGGUAGAGGAGGAGGAGGAUGAGGAGAAGGGCUAGCAAUGUCUGGUAGAGAAGGAGGAGGAUGAGAAUGAUUAGGAGGAAAAGGAGGAAGGCCAGAGAUGUCAGGUAGAGAAGGAGGAGGAGGAGGAGGAGGAGGAAGAAGAGGGCCAGAAAUCUCUGGUAGAGGAGGAGGAGGGCCAGCAAUGUCUUAGAGGAGGAGGAGGGCCAGUGAUGCCUGGUAGAUGAGGAGGAGGAGGGCCAGCAUUGUAUGGUUGAGGAGGCGGAGGAGGGCCAGCGAUGUCUGGUAGAGGAGGAGGAGGAGGGUCAGUGAUGUCUGGUAGAGGAGAAGGAGGAGGAGUGUCAGCAAUAUCUGGUAGAAGAGGAGGAGGAGGUUUAGCGAUGUCUGGCAGAGGAGGAGGAGGAGGAGGAUUAAGAGGUGGAGGAGCAGGAGGAGAAGGGCCAUCGAUGUCUGGUAGAGGAGGAUGAGCAGGAUGAGGAAGACAAGGAGAGGCAAGUGUGUCUGGUGGAGGUGGAGGAUAAAGUGGAGGAGGAGGAGGAAGAGAGGCAGCGAUGUCUAGUAGAGGAAGCAGAGGAGGAGGAGGAGCAGGAGGAGGAGCAGGAGGAAGGCCAGCGAUGUCUGUUGGAGGUGGAGGAGGAGGAGGAGAAGUUACUUUGUAUGACUUCUGGCUUUCAGAAUUUUCUGAGCCUGAGCCUAACCUGUGGGUCUGACUGAGAGAAUGUUUUAUAUAAAAUUGAGGAAAAUCCAUAUUGUUUGCCUCCUGAGUGGUGUACAUUAGAUAUCUCUGAGGUCUAAUCGCUUUAGUGUUUUAUUCCAGUUCUUUAUUUUCUGUUGGGUUGUGUUUGUGUGUGUGUGUGUGUGUGUGUGUGUUUUGGUACCAGGGAUCGAACUUGGGUCCUUGUGCUUGCGAGGCAGGCGGUCAAACCACUGUGCUAAAUCCCUAGCCCAGUUCUUUAUUUUCUUAUUGCUCUUCUUUCUGGUUGAAAUAUUCAUUCUGAGUUUUCAGUAUAGAAUUCUCCUAAUAUAAUUAAUUGUGUGUUCUUCAAUAUUGUCAAGUUUUUCUUCAUGUAAUUGGAAGCUUUAUGGUUGGAUGCAGAUUUGCUUAUGAUUGCUGUAUCUCUUGAUGAGUUCUCCCUACACACAUGCACUUUAUCUGUGGUAUUGGGAUUGAAAUCAUGGUCAUUGGACUGCUAGGUAAGUGCUGCAUUCUAUUAUUAUAACUUAGGAUCCUCCUGCCUUCACCCCCUAAAGUGGCUGGGAUUGCAGGUGUGUACUGCCAUGCCUGGCAGAUAGCCCCCCUUUUAAAUAUGAUAUCCUUUUUUGUCUCUUGUAACAGUUUUUGGCUUAAAAUUCUUGCCAUCUAUCUCUGGGUACUGGUUGUAUGGAGUAUGCUUUCUGUCCUUUCACUUUCAACCUAUUUGUGUUUUAGGCUCUGAACUGCAUGCCUUGGUGACAGUAUAGAGUCAGGUCAUGUUACUGUUCUCCAAUCUCUGCCUUUGAAUUGGAAAUUUUAUUCCAUUGACAUUUAUUUACACUGACCUUUGUCUCUCACAUGUUUUAUGUCUUUAUUGUUUUUCCUCAUUUCUUCCAUUAUUGUCUCAUGUUUUUUAUUUUGUUUUGGUAGUGUAUCAGUUUGGUUCCCUCCUCAAUUCCUUUUCUGAAUGUUUAGAAAUGUGUAUUGGUUAACAUAUUAGUUUUCUUCUAAUAUAGCAAAUGUGUAAGAUAAUUGUGUUAUAAAGAGAAAUGACAUACAUCAGUUCAUAGUUUACAAGGUUCCAGUCCAGGGCUGAUUACCCCAUGUUGUCCUCACUGCUUUGUGCCUUUGGCAAGUGGCACAUCAUGGUGGGUGUAUGUGGCAGAGAAAAACCACUUGCCUCAUGGAAACAAGUCAAAGUGGAAGAGAAAAGGGAAGUGGCAGCACACUCCAGGUCCGGUUCGGGGAUUUGCCUCUGUGACCAAAGUACCCCUCACUAGGCCACACCUCUUAAAGGUUCCAGCCCCUCGCAGGGGCACCACCCUGGGGGUGACCUUUAGUACAUGGGCCUUUGUGGGGCCUCCAACAUGCAAACUUUAGCACUUAGUCUGGAGGUGCCAAUUAAAUCUGAACUAUGCAACAAUUUAGUUUAAAUUAAUACAAAAUAAGGUGUGAUCCUUGGCAUAGAAAAUUUGAAUCUGAGUGUUUUGUUUUGGUUGCCAGCUUGGUGGUGGUGGGGGGAACUAUGGUCUACUUCUGUGAUGGAUCUUUGCAACAUGUGAGCAAGGAAUGCCCAAGCACAGGAAAUAAAAAGAGCAGGUCCAGGCAUGUAGUGGAAGCAUUGGCUUCUGGUGAGUGGCUUUGGGCAUUAUUUGCCCUGUGGCCAAGUCGCCCCUGCUUCUGGCUUCUUGUGGUCUUUUCCUCUGUGUUGCACCACCUGCAACCUCUUCUAAGCAUCCUUACUGCUGGGUUUGGGGCUCACUUGGGUAACCCUGGAUCUCAUCAUGAGAUUCUUAACUGAAUUAUACCUGCAAAGACCCUUUUUCCAAAUCAGUUAUAUUCAUGAGCUCUGGGGGUUAGGAUGUGGACAUAAUAUGUGGGCCACUACUGAACUCACCAUGGGGAGUCAGAGAGAAUGGAUUCUGUAGCUUUCACCAAGUGGGUACACUUGGCCUUAGAAGUUCAGGAACUACCAGAACCUACAGAAUCUGGAGGACAUUCCAGAUACACCUGCCUGCAGUGAGAUUUUCCCUUUCGUGUCAUUAUAGCACUUUAAAUCUAGAAAGGACCUCAUAGAGAAGCAUCACAUACUACUUAAGAUGUAAUGGUAGUCAUAGUAACCACAGCAGGAGGAGCCAACAUAUACUUAGCACCGAUUGGACACCUGGCCAUGUUCAUAUAUAUUUCAUAUAUAUUCAUUCAUGAUGUCCACCCAGCAAAGCCAACAGGAGGGUGUUAUCAUUACCAUAUUUUAUAGAAAAGAAAACGGGCACAGAAAGGUUGGAUGACUUGUUCAAGGUUGCACAGCAAGGGAGUGGCAAGGCUGGGAUCAGAACCUCAUCCAUCUAGCUCCAGAAUCUGCACUCCUAACAGCUGCACAGGCAGCAGAGAGGAGCCUUCUGAGUUUUCCCAGAAUACAUCUCAGCACAGCCCCUUUCCCCAGGCCCAGAAGUGAGACUCCCUUCAUCCUGAACAUGUGGACUGGCCAGACUAGAGGGAUUCCCCCAAACCUUCUCCACUCUAGGGUUACUGAUUUUCAUGGCAGGGAGGAAAGGCAGGAGCUUGUCUUCCAAAUUCAUAAAGGACCUUGAAGAUACUAGGACCAGGGUGGAAGCAUCUGAUUGGCCCAUUUUGGGUCAAUCAUGCUGAGAUGAAUCAGCAUUGACUUUGUGCCUAGUUCUGUGCUGGACAGAAGGUGGGAAAGGAGAGGCAUUGAGGAUACUGUCCCUCUUGAGUUUGCCAUCUUGGGAGAGAUGAGAUUUCUGAACUUGAAAUUAUCAGCUGUUUGUGUUCACUAGUGGCAGUUGAGGCUAUACUGCUAUAUAGCACAGUGCAGGCAGGCAUGGAAAUUCCAAUGGGGCCUGGACAUUUUAGCUUGGGGGUUUGUGAAAGGAAGCAAACCCAUUUAACAGAUGGGAAUACUGAGGCCAGAAGGCAUAGGUGCCUGAACUGCAGGGUGUGGGCUCCCAGACCUGGGUUCAAAGCAAACUUUGCUGAGCUUCUGUGUCCUCUUCCUGUGGGUUACAAGGAGGGAGUGAUGUGAUCACUGAGUGAAAUAAAGACAAGGAAGGUGAUUAUUUAGGCUGGGCUCCCCAGAAGCAGGGUCCAGAUGAAAACCUGGGGAUGUGUACUUUAUUUGGGAGAGGCCCUCAGUGGGCCUUGGAAGAGGUUGGGGGAGCCAGGCGGGAUGCCUGGGACCUGCUUUCCAGUGUCCGUGCUCACCCUUGUAGCCUCUUUGCAAGUCCGCACAGCAGAGAGAAUGGGAGCCCCCUGGCCUGGCAGUCUGUCACCAGAGAAGGAAAGGAACACGGGGUAAUUCCCUUCUCUCCUGGGAUGAGGUCCGGGGGCAUCCCCUCUGAUGUGGGCUCAGGACUUACCCUGUCCUAUGUCGUUGUCCUACAAGCCUAUGAUGAUAAAAGAGAAAGUCACAUUUAUGAAUAUUUUAUUAACACAUGAUUAUGGCAAUAAUUUCUCCCCCUUCCCCCUUCUAAAUUAUUUUAAGAAGAACAGCUGUUGGUCUGCCUGGAGGCCCUGCCCAAUGAUCUAUCCACUCUAUAUUCUGCUUUGGAAGGUUUCAUGAUAGAUUGUUCCAAAGUCAGCUAUUAAGAAUUUCACAGUUGGGCUGGGGAUUUAGCUCAGUGGUGCUGCUGCCUGCCUCGAAAGUACAAGGUCCUGAGUUCGAUCCCUGGUACCAGAAAAAAAAAAAAAAGGAAUUUCACAGUCGCAUAUAAAUCUCUUUGCUUUGUGUCAUAACGGAUCAUUUUGAAUUAUAUUAAGAAUCAUCUUCAUUAAUCAAGGCUUUUUUUCAUGAAGAUAGUACUCUCUUCCCAGUGUGCUUGGCUUCCUUAACUGAGUCUGAAAGCACUGGUCCUAUUCUACAAAACCGGUAUCAUCCCUGUGGGGAGAUGUGGGGCCAUAGAACCACACUCAGGGUUUUUGAACCCAUAAAGAAAUAACAGCCACUGCUAGUGUGUGUUUAGUGUUUGAUGGUUUCAGAAGCACUUACACCUCAGUGAUGUCUGUGAUCUGAUCAGACUCAGGCAAUAAUCCAGUGAGAAAAACUGCCUCCCACUAGCUGGGGGCCGGUCUGAGCCUGUUUCCUCCUCUGCACAAUGGGGCUCCUGCUAGUGUGAUAGUCAACCUGACUCCAUCUUGUGCCUCAAUGCCAUUUUGUACCUGUGCUUGAACAAAGUGAUUGCAUGUGAACAAAGCACCCAAAACCCCCACAUCCUGCUUGGCAGUAAACUUGCUACAGUUGCAGCAUGUUUUGUAGCUCACCUAGUGUGUGUGAAACUUCCUUGAAGCCCCUGCUAACCUGGCAUGAUUCUGCUUCUGUAAGAUUCUGCUUGCUCUCCCCUGAGCCCUCCCCAACUGAAAGCAUGAUUUAAAAGGUGAAAUCAAACUGCUUCCCAUUGCCAAGGAAACUUUCUGGGCGCUAGCCCUCCUCGGCCACUGGCUAUAAUAAAUGGGCUUGAAUCUGGCACAGAGUGUGGCACAUCUCUAUCGUCUGGACUCGCUCAUCCACAACACCUGGAGGCCCCAGCAAGAUGGGCACAGUGGGUGGACUGGCCUCGCUGUGAUCCCUCCCAUCUCAGCAAACCAUAGGGGAGGUGCCCCCUGAGAUGUUCCAGGGCCCCGUAGUCUCACUGCUGACACUGAAGGGAUUGCAGACAACUGAGACACCCCUCAAAUUUUCUGGAGCUCAUCUGGUCUGGUAAGGAUCCUUCUGGUUCUGGUGGAGAACAGUAGUCCUUGAUGAAGGCAUUCCCUGGUCCCCUCC